rnacentral:rRNA from 1 species
CCUGACUCCUACGGGAGGCAGCAGUGGGGAAUAUUGGACAAUGGACCUACAGUCUGAUCCAGCAAUUCUGUGUGCACGAUGAAGUUUUUCGGAAUGUAAAGUGCUUUCAGUUGGGAAGAAAGAAAUGACGGUACCAACAGAAGAAGUGACGGCUAAUUACGUGCCAGCCGCCGCGGUAAUACGUAUGUCACGAGCGUUAUCCGGAUUUAUUGGGCGUAAAGCGCGUCUAGGUGGUUAUAUAAUUCUGAUGUGAAAAUGCAGGGCUCAUCUCUGUAUUGCGUUGGAAACUGUAUAACUAG